rfam:Homo sapiens chromosome 17, GRCh38 reference primary assembly.
GCUGGGCGCGGUGGCGCAUGCCUGUAAUCCCAACACUUUGGGAGGCCGAUGCUGGAGGAUCACUUGAGACCAGGAGUUCAAGGUUGCAGUGAGCUAUGAUCAUACCACUACACCCUAGCCUGGGCAACACAGUGAGACUGAGACUCUA